ACGAACGCUUGCGGCGUGCUUAACACAUGCAAGUCGAACGGAAAGGCCCUGCUUUUGUGGGGUGCUCGAGUGGCGAACGGGUGAGUAACACGUGAGUAACCUGCCCUUGACUUUGGGAUAACUUCAGGAAACUGGGGCUAAUACCGGAUAGGAGCUCCUGCUGCAUGGUGGGGGUUGGAAAGAUUCGGCGGUUGGGGAUGGACUCGCGGCUUAUCAGCUUGUUGGUGGGGUAGUGGCUUACCAAGGCUUUGACGGGUAGCCGGCCUGAGAGGGUGACCGGCCACAUUGGGACUGAGAUACGGCCCAGACUCCUACGGGAGGCAGCAGUGGGGAAUAUUGCACAAUGGGCGGAAGCCUGAUGCAGCAACGCCGCGUGCGGGAUGACGGCCUUCGGGUUGUAAACCGCUUUCGCCUGUGACGAAGCGUGAGUGACGGUAAUGGGUAAAGAAGCACCGGCUAACUACGUG
rnacentral:rRNA from 1 species